rnacentral:rRNA from 1 species
CCUACGGGUGGCAGCAGUGGGGAAUAUUGGACAAUGGGGGGAACCCUGAUCCAGCCAUGCCGCGUGUGUGAAGAAGGCCCUCGGGUUGUAAAGCACUUUCAGUGAGGAAGAACGCCUGGUGGUUAAUACCCAUCAGGAAAGACAUCACUCACAGAAGAAGCACCGGCUAACUCCGUGCCAGCAGCCGCGGUAAUACGGAGGGUGCGAGCGUUAAUCGGAAUUACUGGGCGUAAAGCGCGCGUAGGUGGCUUGAUAAGCCGGUUGUGAAAGCCCCGGGCUCAACCUGGGAACGGCAUCCGGAACUGUCAAGCUAGAGUGCAGGAGAGGAAGGUAGAAUUCCCGGUGUAGAGGUGAAAUGCGUAGAGAUCGGGAGGAAUACCAGUGGCGAAGGCGGCCUUCUGGACUGACACUGACACUGAGGUGCGAAAGCGUGGGUAGCAAACAGGAUUAGAUACCCGGGUAGUA